UACGGGGGGGGCAAGCGUUGUUCGGAAUUACUGGGCGUAAAGGGCUCGUAGGUGGCCAACUAAGUCAGACGUGAAAUCCCUCGGCUUAACCUGGGAACUGCAUCCGAUACUGGAUGGCUUGAAUCCGGGAGAGGGAUGCAGAAUUCCAGGUGUAGCGGUGAAAUGCGUAGAUAUCUGGAGGAAUACCGGUGGCGAAGGCGGCAUCCUGGACCGGCAUUGACGCUGAUGAGCGAAAGCUAGGGGAGCAAACGGG
rnacentral:rRNA from 1 species